UGGUUAACAGAGGUGGUGUCAGCCUUGGAAGUCAUGUGAAGAAGAUGGCAGAUCUUCCAACUUGGAUCCCUCAAUGACUAUAUGAAAUAGUCACUACUUGAUCUAAUGAGAUGGUUAAAUACUCUUCGUUGUCCACUGAGGCCUCCAAGGUCACUACCAGUGACAGUGAGUGGAGUUAGGAAACGUGCUCCCACCAUGUGAAAGGUGAGCAGAAAAGAGGAGAAAUCCAUUGAAUGCCACCACAGCUGAGAAUGGCAGGAAACAGCUUAACUUAACAGAUGUGCAGGCACAGAAGAUUUGGGCCUACUGAGGCACUGAUGAGGGGCCCUAAGAGAGAAGCCUUCAUGGACUUCAGAAAUGCGUAGGAAGGAGCGUCUGGGUGGCUCAGUCAAGCAUCCAACGUUGGCUUAGGUCAUGAUGCCGCGGUUCAUGAGUUUGAGCCCUGUGUAGGGCUCUGUGCUGACAGCUCAGGCCUGGAGACUGCUUUAGAUUCUGUGUCUCAGCCCUC